GCCGCGGUAAAUUGACUGUACAAAGGUAGCAUAAUCAUUAGUUUAUUAAUUGUAGACUGGAAUGAAUGAUUUGACGAGAAAAAUUCUGUUUCAAUUUUAUUUUAAUGAAGUUAAUUUGUUUUUGAGAAAGAAUACAUAGUUAUGAAAGACGAGAAGACCCUAUAGAGUUUUAUUAAUAUUAAUUUAGGUUUUGUUUUGAGUUAUAAUUUAGUUGGGGUAACUAGAAAUUUAAAUAUUUUUAUUAACGAUUUUAAUAUAAGAUUUUUGAUCUAUUGAAUAGUUAGUUGAUUAAAUUACCUUAGGGAUAACAGCAUUAUUAAAUUAAGGAGUUCUUAUCUAUAAUUUAGUUUGUGACCUCNAUGUUGAAUA
rnacentral:rRNA from 1 species